GGUUAAGCGACUAAGCGUACACGGUGGAUGCCCUGGCAGUCAGAGGCGAUGAAGGACGUGCUAAUCUGCGAUAAGCGUCGGUAAGGUGAUAUGAACCGUUAUAACCGGCGAUUUCCGAAUGGGGAAACCCAGUGUGAUUCGUCACACUAUCAUUAACUGAAUCCAUAGGUUAAUGAGGCGAACCGGGGGAACUGAAACAUCUAAGUACCCCGAGGAAAAGAAAUCAACCGAGAUUCCCCCAGUAGCGGCGAGCGAACGGGGAGGAGCCCAGAGCCUGAAUCAGUGUGUGUGUUAGUGGAAGCGUCUGGAAAGGCGCGCGAUACAGGGUGACAGCCCCGUACACAAAAAUGCACAUGCUGUGAGCUCGAUGAGUAGGGCGGGACACGUGGUAUCCUGUCUGAAUAUGGGGGGACCAUCCUCCAAGGCUAAAUAC
rnacentral:rRNA from 1 species